rnacentral:rRNA from 1 species
UACGUAGGAGGCAAGCGUUAUUCAGAUUUACUGGGCGUAAAGAGGGCGCAAGCGGCUCUUCAAGUCUGAUGUAAAAUCUCCCGGCUUAACCGGGAGGGAACGUCUGAUACUGUUGGGCUAGAGGGCAACAAAGGGAGGUGGAAUUCCCGGUGUAGUGGUGAAAUGCGUAGAUAUCGGGAGGAACACCAGUGGCGAAGGCGGUCUCCUGGGUUGUUGCUGACGCUGAGGCCCAAAAGCGUGGGGAG